rnacentral:rRNA from 1 species
UACAGGGGGGGGCAAGCGUUGUUCGGAAUUACUGGGCGUAAAGGGUCUGUAGGUGGCCAACUAAGUCAGACGUGAAAUCCCUCAGCUUAACUGGGGAACUGCGUCUGAGACUGGAUGGCUCGAGUGCAGGAGAGGAACGCGGAAUUCCAGGUGUAGCGGUGAAAUGCGUAGAUAUCUGGAGGAACACCGGUGGCGAAGGCGGCGUUCUGGACUGCAACUGACACUGAGAGACGAAAGCCAGGGGAGCAAACGGGG